rnacentral:rRNA from 1 species
UACGUAAGUGGCGAGCGUUAUCCGGAAUUACUGGGCGUAAAGCGUGCGUAGGCGGUUUAGUGUGUGGGAAUUGAAAGCCCGGGGCUCAACUCCGGAUCCGGUUCCCAAACUGCUAGACUCGAGCGUAUCAGAGGAGAGCGGAAUUCCCGGUGUAGCGGUAAUAUGCGUAGAUAUCGGGAGGAACACCAGUGGCGAAGGCGGCUCACUGGACCAUAACUGACGCUGAUGCACGAAAGCUAGGGGAGCAAACAGG